rnacentral:rRNA from 1 species
AGAGUUUGAUCCUGGCUCAGGACGAACGCUGGCGGCGUGCUUAACACAUGCAAGUCGAACGCUGAAGCUUGGUGCUUGCACUGGGUGGAUGAGUGGCGAACGGGUGAGUGAUACGUGAGUAACCUGCCCUUGACUCUGGGGUAAGCCUGGGAAACUGGGUCUAAUACCGGAUACGACAUGUCACUGCAUGGUGGUGUGUGGAAAGGGUUUUACUGGUUUUGGAUGGGCUCACGGCCUAUCAGCUUGUUGGUGGGGUAAUGGCCUACCAAGGCGACGACGGGUAGCCGGCCUGAGAGGGUGACCGGCCACACUGGGACUGAGACACGGCCCAGACUCCUACGGGAGGCAGCAGUGGGGAAUAUUGCACAAUGGGCGGAAGCCUGAUGCAGCGACGCCGCGUGAGGGAUGACGGCCUUCGGGUUGUAAACCUCUUUCAGCACGGAAGAAGCGAGAGUGACGGUACGUGCAGAAGAAGCGCCGGCUAACUACGUGCCAGCAGCCGCGGUAAUACGUAGGGCGCAAGCGUUGUCCGGAAUUAUUGGGCGUAAAGAGCUCGUAGGCGGUUUGUCGCGUCUGCUGUGAAAGCCCGGGGCUUAACCCCGGGUGUGCAGUGGGUACGGGCAGACUUGAGUGCAGUAGGGGAGACUGGAAUUCCUGGUGUAGCGGUGAAAUGCGCAGAUAUCAGGAAGAACACCGAUGGCGAAGGCAGGUCUCUGGGCUGUUACUGACGCUGAGGAGCGAAAGCAUGGGGAGCGAAC